rnacentral:rRNA from 1 species
CUGAGAGGAGGUGCGAUGGCCGUCGUCAGUUCGUACUGUGAAGCAUCCUGUUAAGUCAGGCAACGAGCCGAGACCCACGCCAACAGUUGCCAGCUCGUCCUCCGGGGAUGGUGGGGACGACUGUUGGGACCGCCUCUGCUAAAGAGGAGGAAGGAAUGGGCAACGGUAGGUCAGCAUGCCCCGAAUUAUCUGGGCUACACGCGGGCUACAAUGGGUGGGACAAUGGGUAUCGACACCGAAAGGUGAAGGCAAUCUCCUAAACCCAUCCGUAGUUCGGAUUGUGGGCUGCAACUCGCCCACAUGAAGCUGGAAUCUGUAGUAAUCGUGUCUCAAAAUGGCACGGUGAAUAUGUCCCUGCUCCUU